rnacentral:lncRNA from 1 species
CUUUGGUAUUUGGGCCACGGUAAUGCAAAGGAGCCAUUCAUCCAGGGAUGCUGGAGGUCUGGGCUCACCUGGGAAUGGAGAUGGCAACACCUACAUGUGACCUUUCCAGCAUGGCAGUCUCAGAGUGGAUAUGGCAACAGCUGCACAUGAACUCUCCGGCAUGGCAGUCUCAGAGUGGAUAUGGCAACAGCUGCACAUGACCUCUCCGGCAUGGCAGUCUCAGAGUGGAUAUGGCAACACCUGCACACGACCUCUCCGGCAUGGCAGUCUCAGAGUGGAUAUGGCAACACCUACACACGACCUCUCCAGCAUGGCAGUCUCAGAGUGGAUAUGGCAACAGCUACACAUGACCUCACCGGCAUGGCAGUCUCAGAGUGGAUAUGGCAACAGCUACACAUGACCUCACCAGCAUGGCAGUCUCAGGUUACUGGUACUUCUUAGGUCUCAGCUGAGGACUCCAGUGCAGGUGUUGCAAGACAGCAGACGUAGCACUGCUUAUGUGUAUCCUGAAGUCCCAUGUGUAUCCUGAAGUCCCAGAAAGCUGCUUCAAGUAGAUUCCAGUGGAGAAGGGAGUCACCAAGGCUGGACAGUCAUUUAUCCAUGGCAGGACUAGCAAAAAAAUCUGCACCAUCUCUCAUCGCACACACGUGGGUAAGGUUUGGACUGGUAUGAUCUUUUUCCAUAAUGUCAUUUUCGUGAUUUCUUAACUGAGAAUAUAAUAGUAAAUACCAAUCUCACAGAAUUGUUAUGAGGAAUGCAGAAACUUAAUCAAAUUACUUAAUUGUUAUUUUCAUUUCUUAUUAAUUUGUUCCCAUUGAAAUUAAUGUUAUGUCUGGUCUCAUUUUAAAUUAUUUAUCGUUCUGAAUUUGGAUCCCAUCCUCAAGUUUUCAAUGCUUGACUUUUUAUGAAUUCUUGUAUUAUACCUCAAAUUUAAUAAAAUCCUUUUAAUCUUGUC